rnacentral:rRNA from 1 species
AGAGUUUGAUCAUGGCUCAGAGCGAACGUUAGCGGCGCGCCUAACACAUGCAAGUCGCACGAGAAAGGGCUUCGGCCCCGGUAAAGUGGCGCACGGGUGCGUAACACGUGGGCAAUCUUCCCUUAGGCGGGGGAUAACGUUUCGAAAGAGACGCUAAUACCGCAUGAGACCACGAACCCUUCGGGGAUUGAGGUCAAAGCCGGCCUCUUCAUGAAAGCUGGCACCUAAGGACGAGCCCGCGGCCCAUCAGCUAGUUGGCAGGGUAAUGGCCUACCAAGGCUAAGACGGGUAGCUGGUCUGAGAGGAUGAUCAGCCACACUGGAACUGAAACACGGUCCAGACUCCUACGGGAGGCAGCAGUGGGGAAUAUUGGACAAUGGGCGCAAGCCUGAUCCAGCGACGCCGCGUGAGUGAUGAAGGCCUUCGGGUUGUAAAGCUCUGUUGAGGGAGAAGAAAACGUUUGGCGCGAAUAGCUCCAGACCUUGACGGUAUCCCUUUAGAAAGCACCGGCUAACUCUGUGCCAGCCGCCGCGGUAAUAC